AUGCUACCUUUAACUAUUGACAAACAUCAGAGAGUGUCUUAUCAAGCAAUUUUAAACGGAACUAACGAGUUCUCAGAUGCCAACUUACUUGGUAAAGGAAGAUUUGGUGCUGUUUACAGAUGCACCUUGGAUGAUGAGGGUACAGGUACAAAUGUGGCCGUAAAGGUGUUUGAUCCCCAACAAUCAGGAUCUUCCAAGAGUUUUGAGGUUGAAUGUGAGGCAUUGAGAAGAGUGCGUCACCGAUGUAUCCUAAAAAUCAUCACCUGUUGCGCAAGCAUCAGCCCCCAAGGUCAAGAGUUCAAGGCUCUGGUUUUUGAGCUCAUGCCUAACAACAGCCUAGACAGUUGGCUUCAUCCUAACUCCCAAGAGCCGGCUCCAUGCAGUACGCUCAGCCUGGCUCAGCGGCUGGACAUUGCCGUUGAUAUCCUGGAUGCACUGGACUAUCUUCACAAUGACUGUCAACCACCAAUCAUCCACUGUGAUAUCAAGCCAAGCAACAUACUUCUCGCACAGGACAUGAGUGCACGUGUGGGAGAUUUUGGCAUAGCAAGAGUUCUUCCUGAGAAUGCAAGCCAAACCAUGCUGAAUUCAACUAGAUCCGCAGGAGUACGAGGUUCCAUUGGCUACAUUGCUCCAGAGUACGGGGAAGGAUCUGCUACCUCACCUCUUGGCGAUGUUUAUAGCAUUGGUAUAUUGUUGCUUGAGAUGUUCACUGGAAGAAGUCCCACAGACGACAUGUUCAAAGGUUCACUGAAUCUGCAUAAAUUUGCUGAGGCCGCUCUUCCAGAUAAAGUCAUGGAAAUAGCAGACCCAGCAAUCUGGAUACACACAGAGGCAAAUGAUACAGGUGUAGCCGACACCGGCACUGCACGAACAAGAACUGAGGAAUGCUUGGUUUCUGUCAUGAGUGUUGGCAUAUCCUGCUCAAUGCAACAGCCCAGGGAGCGAAUGCUGAUAAGGGAUGCAGCUUCAGAGAUGCGCGCAGUCAGAGAUGCAUACCUUAUAUUUGCCAAUUCACCAAUACAUCAGAGAAAAUAA
rnacentral:rRNA from 1 species